AAGUCGUAACAAGGUUUCCGUAGGUGAACCUGCGGAAGGAUCAUUAUCCUUUAGCCAAGUGCUCUCUGUCACAAUGACAAGUGCAUCUGCGGCUCAAAUCUACUUAAUGCACGGCAGCCGCGCGACGCCUAGUCGAUGCGCGGCGGGCAGCAUCAAGCAAAAAUCCACGGCAGCCCUAGUGCUACCGUGGUCAGGUACCUAGCAGCUGAAGCGAGGCGCUCCGGCGCAUCGUGUGGCGUAAAGAUUACGCGGGCCCUAAGGCGCCGCGUAACGCCUGCUUAGCUAAAUUUUUUCUCUAUUAUAAACUACAAAUGAUUACUAUUAGAGUUGUGUAUGUGCUUGAUUUCUCCCAGAGAAAGCAAUUCAAACACAAAAACAACCCUAUGCGGUGGAUCACUUGGCUC
rnacentral:misc_RNA from 1 species